ensembl:lncRNA
CGGAGUCUCGGCUUAGAUCCACACACCACACGUCAAGGCAGUCCGGUCUGAGGAAUUGACUAAUCACAACACUACACCCCAGACAUGGAGAGUUCAGCGCACUCCAAACCCCUUAAAGUUAAAACACCUACUUGGCUCCUCCUAGCCCUUUUGUGGCCUAGAGUCAGUGGGGGAAUAAGCCCCCACCAGACAGAAAUUUCUUGACCAAGUCGAGUGAAAGAUUUCACUCAAAGUUAGCAAAAAAAAAUGGGGGAAUGAAAGACCCCAGCUUAGCAGCAGUAACGCCAUUUUGCAAGGCUGUACUUAAGAUGACUGGUUCAGGGAAAGGUUAGAACACUGAGUACACAGCGGCUGCCAAGCAGGAUGUGUUUGGUUGAAGGCCUGGCAACAGGACGACUGCAGUUGAGCACCUGACAAUGAGAAAAGCCCCGGGAGAGGUCCCACACCCUGGUGGGGGGGCCGAGUCAGCCGUUAUGUUCCAAGAAGGUAGCUAAGAAACUUGCCCCCGGGCUGAACCCUUGGGGGGCCGAGUCAGUCGUUAUGUUCCAAGAAGGUAGCUAGGAAACUUGCCCCCGGGCUAAACCCUUGCCAUAUUAGAAUCCACCAAUUAUAUCCCUGUAACCAUGCAUCUGCUUCUGUAUGCUUGCUUCUGCUCCCCAAAAUCCUAUAAAAGCCCAUCCUUGGUUCCGUGGGGCGCGCCAGUCCCCCGAGUGACUGAAGCGCCCGCAGGUGCCUGUGCCUGUGUAUCCCGACAAUAAACCAAAUCCUCUUGCUGAUU